rnacentral:rRNA from 1 species
UACGUAGGGGGGCAAGCGUUGUCCGGAUUUAUUGGGCGUAAAGAGCGUGUAGGCGGCUUGGUAGGUCCGCUGUGAAAAACUCGAGGCUCAACCUCGAGAUGUCGGCGGAAACCACUUGGCUAGAGUCCGGAAGAGGAGAGUGGAAUUCCCGGUGUAGCGGUGAAAAUGCGCAGAUAUCGGGAAGAACACCUAUGGCGAAGGCAGCUCUCUGGGGACGGUACU